rnacentral:piRNA from 1 species
GCAGCCUGAAACAUGUUGAUGGCCACUGU